GGGGAUUUAGCUCAGUGGUAGAGCGCUUGCCUAGCAACGCAAGGCCCUGGGUUCGGUCCCCAGCUCCG
rfam:Rattus norvegicus chromosome 2, whole genome shotgun sequence.